rnacentral:lncRNA from 1 species
GCAUGGUGGCUGCCUACACAGGUUGGAAGGAUGACAGAAAUGAUCCUGUAAAAGCGGUCACCUAUGGUGAUGGCACACCAUUGCCCGCAGAUAUCAUAUACAAGUGUUUGGAACUCCUGGAUGAGGAGUGUGUAGCCAUCCCUUGGCAGAAGGGUGACAUACUAUUGAUUGAUAAUUUGGCAGUUCUGCAUUCCCGAAGACCAUUCGAGCCCCCUCGCCGAAUAUUAGCUUCACUUUGCAAGUGAAAGUGGUGCCCUCAUUUUACAUGUUGUAAUCCUUCCUUACAAAUAAUGUAUAAUAUGCCCCAUUCUCCCACAGUAUAUUAGCUAAGCUGAUGAACUUGUAUACUACUACAUGCUUUGAGGUGUCUUCAAUAAAUUUCAACUAUACUUGUGCUCUGUACGUCCAUUUGAAGUAGGAUUUUGAUACUGAUGAUCAUCUGUCCUUUUGCUUUGCUCUGUCCUUUUGCUCUAUACUGUAUAUGAAACAUCCGUUCUUCUUUCAGAUCUGUGAAUACUGAAUACCAAAUUAAGGUUUAUUUAUGUCCAUAGAACUUUCUAGAUUCCAGUUUGCUCAAACUUCUCAACCUAGCUAAUAGACUGUUACAUUUGGCAAUAUCAUAGACACCUUACCAAAACCAUGGCAUUUCAUAUAUGUUUAUUCAUAGAAAUCUAGAAAAUGCCGAGAAAUGUCAAUAUUUUCUGUUACAUUGUUUGGGAAAAUGUCGGAACUAGCUUUUGUAAAGUAGAAUUUGCAAACGUUAUUUUAAAGCUAAUUUUUUACCAGGUAAUCAAGUAGAUAGAGCCUAGACUUAUUUUACUAGGAAAGCUGCCUAGUAAUAUUGGUCGUUCUUCAUGAUCAUGAGGAAUUGGUAGCAAAGGCAGCAGUAAGCCAUACUUGUCAGCAAAGGCAGCAGUAAGCCAUACUUGUCAGCAAAGGCAGUUAAACAUGUAAUGCAUUCUACAAGUGAUCCCAGAUUAUAUGAUGGAAUCAUCAUGGUCUGGCAGCCCUAAUUAGACUGGAGGUGACUGAUUAAGUUGAAUUGGAUGGACAAACACAACAAGCUAACAUAUACAGUACAUACCAAUUACCAAAUUAACUACCAAGCAAGGCAAAUUUAAUUGAUAAAGCCAAUGCAAUAUAUUUACAAAAAAGUAAGAGAUUAAUUAAUUAAUAAGACAAAUGAUGAAUAUAUUAUAUCUUGCCUUACAUACGUCCGUACCCUAACAGAAUCAAAACUCCUCCAUCUGGGGAUUAAGACUUAAGAGAGAGUCUAUAUAUACGCAUUACAAACAUGAAACACCCAUUUCAUACAGAAAAACCUAACUUUGAUAAAUUCUUAAGAAUUCUUCUUUUUUUUCGUUUGAAACUAAUCUAUCAGUAUGCAACAUUUCUCUCUUCGAAAGUGUGUGCAGCAGCAGCCCAAUUGGUCAGAGCUUCCAAGUUGUCUUUUAUCUGAAAUAAUUGAUAGAUUGAAUGUUAUUGAUGAUUAUGUUCGGUUUGGUUCAGUAUGUGUUUCAUGGAGAACUGUUUUUCUCCAAGAAACUCUUGCUAACAAGAAAAAACAUUGUGCCUUGCUUCCUUUCCUCUUGAUUCCUCCCCGUCCUGAAAAAGGCGACCUCGAAGAAGAAAAUCACUACUACAACAUAAACAACAACAACAACAACAACAACAACAACAACAAGAGGAAGAGGUUCAUGAGGCCGAGGAAGGUAAAACUACGUCUGCCACGUGGUUUGUACAGUGUUGCUAGGGGAAAGGUUUAUGAUUUCCAGGUACAACUGCCUAACAACAAGUAUUGUCGUGGUUCUAGCUUUGGGUGGCUCAUAACAAUUCAAAACAUGUCAGAAUAUGAUUCCAAGGAUUACAGAUAUCAAGUUCAACUACAAAAUCCUUUCUUAUUAUCAUCUGAUAAUUAUAACCAUAAUAUCAUUGAUCUUCCAUCAAUUGAUAACAUUAUAGACAAUGAUGGAGACAAUAAUCCUUCUAAACCAUUUAUUUACAUUCGCAAAGCGGUGUUGUCUUCUGAUCCAUUAUUCACACCCAACAACUUUGUUGUCAUGGCAAUUAUGAGUCGUUUUUGGAAGUUGGCCUUCUUCAAGCAUGGUACUAAAGAUUGGGUACCCAUACAAUGGGAGAAGGAAGAAUGGAGUUAUUUCGAUGAUCUCAUUUACUUCAACAAGACCCAACAAUUCUACGCAGUUCUAAAUACAACUGGAGUAGCUAUUGACUUCAACACUGGAGGAAUGGGAGGACAAUCAUCAGAUAUUACCCCCAAGGUUACACAAAUUGCACCCCCUACCCAAAAAUGGUUACAUGGGAAAAGAUAUCUUGUGGAAACCUUGUCGGGGGACUUAUUGCAGGUUAUCAAAGAAACAGAAUGCACAGGAAGUUGGCAAACACUUGUAAUGACUCAUCAAUUUAAAGACCUCAAGCUUGAUCCUAUCGCAACUGACUGGACCAAAAUGCGUGAUAUCGGUGAUACCAGCUUGUUCUUAGGUGACAACUCUUCAAUAUCUCGAUCUGUAUCUGAUUUCCCUGGAUGCAAACCCAACAGCAUCUAUUACAUAGACGACUCAAAUGUAGACAAGAAGGGUGAGUGGCGAUAUAGGGAUGAAGACACUGGAAUAUACAACUUGAGGAUGGAACCAUCCAACAACAUUACCCCACGGCUUCCAGGAUAAUCUUUCCUACACCCAUUUGGCUUGAGCCUACAUUACAGAGAUGGCGAUCUUAAAAUUUCACCUUUAAUACCAAUUUUAGUUGCCUUGGGGUGCAUAAUAGGUACUUCAAGAAGAUGUCACCAUUUAUUGUUACUUCUCUCGCUCGCCCAAUCAAACUUAACUUGAUGGCUAGCUAUGAAUCUCUAUCUCUUUUUAUAUUAGAGAUAAUGUUUACACAACAAAACAUUGUCACUUUUUACAUUUCAAAGUGCUUUGUAAUAUUUAAUUUCAAUUGUGUGAUUGAUAACUUUCAAUUUAGUUGGAUACACCAUUGCAGUACCAUAAUGCUAUUUACUUCUUAUGCAGAACAUUUCCAAUGCACACUUCAAUUUGAUAAAAAAACACUAACUUUGUGUUUUUUUUGUUCAAAACCCACCUUCAAUGCAACAUAAAGUUAGACAUGCACUAACUCUUCACCAAGCUUUGAUCUAAAUUUAGUGGAAGAGUUAGCAAAGCUUUGAUCUAAAUUUAGUGGAAGAGUUAGGUGUUAGGGCUACUCGGCUGGGUAUGAAGUUAGAGUGAACAGAGGAUGGAGUGAAAACAAUAAUGUGGCCUAUCCCAGGCCCCAGCUAUUAAGUAUGACAAGACAAGGGGUCGCAAGGUUUUGUUUAAUAUAUAGCAUGGUGGCUGUUUACACAGGUUGGAAGGAUGAUCGGAAUGAUCCUGUAAAGGUGGUCACCUAUGGUGAUGGCACGCCAUUUCUGCAGAUAUCAUCUACAAGUGUUUGGAACUCCUGGAUGAGGAGUGUGUAGCCAUCCCUUGGCAGAAGGGUGACAUACUAUUGAUUGAUAAUUGGGCAGUUCUGCAUUUCCGAAGACCAUUUGAG